AUGAACGCUGGCGGCGUGCCUAAUACAUGCAAGUCGAGCGAACAGACGAGGAGCUCGCUCCUCUGACGUUAGCGGCGGCCGGGUGAGUAACACGUGGAUAACCUACCUAUAAGACUGGGAUAACUCUGCGAAACCGGAUCUAAUACCGGAUAAUAUAUUGAACCGCAUGGUUCAAUAGUGAAAGACGGUUUUGCUGUCACUUAUAGAUGGAUCCGCGCCGCAUUAGCUAGUUGGUAAGGUAACGGCUUACCAAGGCAACGAUCCGUAGCCGACCUGAGAGGGUGAUCGGCCACACUGGAACUGAGACACGGUCCAGACUCCUACGGGAGGCAGCAGUGGGGAAUCUUCCGCAAUGGGCGAAAGCCUGACGGAGCAACGCCGCGUGAGUGAUGAAGGUCUUCGGAUCGUAAAACUCUGUUAUUAGGGAAGAAGAAAUGUGUAAGUAACUAUGCACGUCUUGACGGUACCUAAUCAGAAAGCCACGGCUAACUACGUG
rnacentral:rRNA from 1 species